GAAGCGCCUGAGGAAGAGCCGUCGGCGAGGUUAUAGUGGGGCAGGAAGCAGGAGGUGAUGUCGGGGGUAACAAACAGGAAGCGGCGGCCGCGGCACAGUGCGGGGCCUGGCUGUGGGCUGAAGCGCGGGGAAAGGGCCUCCUCUCGCGUGGCGGGGGGAGCGGCGCCUGCCUCCCUGCCUUUGGCUGCCAGUGUUUUGCUUUCCCAGCUACUGUUUACACUGAGCUGUUGUUAUUUGGACGGCAGGACGAGAGCAGUAAAUAAUUGUUUGCGCUUCCGUAGCGUCUUUUCCCAAAGAACCUGAAAGAUAUGAAUGAACCCUCGCGACGUCCUUGUGACUCACAUGAAUAUUAGUAACCCCAUCUUACGUUUGAGGGAAGUGGAAUAUAUAGUCAUUAAGAGGCAGAUUCUCAAAAACGCUCGUGGAGUAACUGAGAGCAGAUUGUGGAACAACUGCCAGAACUGCUGAGUUCUUCCUCACCAUGUACGCCAGACGUGUCUGAUGGAAGAUCUUUUUAACCAUGCUAACUGUCUCAAAGAAAAGGAGCGUUUCAUAAUUACAAAGAUACGGACAUUUCCACCUAUUCCUGCAAUAGUGAAAAUCAGUGUAACCAUCUUCAUGAGGGGAGCAGGUGUGAAAGAAGAAGAGCCUCUGUGGAAUAAGGAGACUUGCGAGUAGGAGGAUUUAUUAAUGAAGAAGCAAAGCCAGCACUGGGAGCUGGUGGGCUGAACUGAAAGGGGUGAUUAGAGCCAGGUCAUAUCUUUCAUAAUUAUCACACUUUUAUUCGUUUUUUUUUUUCCAUAAUACAUUUUGUUCUGAUUUUCUCACGUUUCUUUGCUGACAGUCUUCCAGAGAACAAAUGAGUUUAUGGGCAGGAACAAAAAUGCCUUGGCAAUGCUUCGGCAUUUUUUGCCAAAGCAGAAAAUGUAAGGCAAAUAUCAGACAGUGUUAAUAAAAAAUAAGUUUC